rnacentral:lncRNA from 1 species
GAUCAUGAAAAUCAAGAAAAGGCUCUUAAACCAGAGAUUUCAAGACUCCCAGCGACCAUUACAAGGUCUAUGAGUGAAGAUUUAUGCUCCAAUACAACCUUCAGUUUUGGCUUUUCUUUCUCUUCAGAUUCAGUCCUCCACGCACCGAAGCUCCACACCAUCUUUUCAGGCGAAGACUUCACAAAAGAAGAGUAUUCAACACCAACGGAGAAGGUAUAUGUCCUGGAAUCACAUAAAAAGAAAGUUACGAGGAGAAGAGGAAAGAAAGUUACAAGCAAGAGCCUGUCAGAAUUGGAAUAUGAAGAGCUAAAAGGGUUUACGGAUUUGGGGUUUGUCUUCUCGGAAGAAGAUAAAGAUUCAAAGUUGGCUUCAAUAAUUCCAGGAUUGCAAAGACUUGGUAAGCAACAUGAGGAUGAAACCGUUCUUGAUGAGCCUACAGUUUCUAGGCCUUAUUUAUCUGAAGCAUGGGAAGUUCAGGAACAGAGAAUGAGAGAGGAGCCAUUGAUGAACACAUAACUCUUGUAUCAGCGUGUUUGACCGUGUAGUAGCGGUUGCUUUUCAAUUCAAUAGCUUUUCGUGCUGAAAUACAUGUCAAUGAUGUUUUUUAUUUUUUAAAAAUUAUUUUUGACAUCAGCACAUCAAAACGGUUCAAAAAAUACAAACCGUACUCAAUUUUAACAAAACAAAAAUUCAAAAUUUGAUGAAAUGCAGUUACAAACGCAAUCCAAUAGAUUUGAGACUAGGCUUAUAUCAAAUUCAUGGUAUAAAAUUCUAAUUUUUGUUCCAUGACAGUUGCAUAUCGAAGGCCAGUGGAACACCUAAUUCUUGUAUGUGUUCUUGAUGAUGCCAACAAUAAAAUGACACAAUCAAUCCUACUAUUUUUUAGGAUAUCAUGCCAGUUUGAAAUAUAAUGUUUGAGUUUAUUCUUCAUUGUUUGUCUCUAUGAUUGAACUCCACGAAUGCAGAUUUCUUGUAUAUUGAAAAUGAUCUAUUUAGAAGUCUGGAUGGUAUUUUAGAAUGAACAACUAAGUGAUGAUCCAGUAUUUUUACAUUUCAAUUCUUUCUGUGUAUAUUUUUUGCAUUCUUCCUUUAUCUUUGCAUAUCACUAUUUUUAUUUAUUUUUAAUAAUAUUUGGUAAUCGGGAUACUGUAUGGAUUCACUUAGAUUAGGUAUAAUUGUCCUAAAUAAAAGCACUUUGGCUCCCAUAUUUAAAACUUCAGUUCAGUUUAUGAUGAUCAGAGGUGUGAAAUAUGGAGUAUGAGCUGCCUAAAGGGUAUUCUCCAAUUUUAUUUUAUUUUAAGAUAAUGUUUCCUGCGCGUAAAAUAAAUAGGGCUUUAAACUCCUUCAAAAAAAAAAAAAAUAUUGGAGUGUGAUGUGAAGUCAAACAGUAGGUGUGAAAUGUUUUUACCAGCCCAUGGCCCUCGUGCACGUGCCCUGAGUCGCAUGCGGAAACUGAGAUUUGUCAGAUCACCGUAUCAACAGCUGACUCUCAAAAAACAUUCCCUCUAGAGGAUAUUCGCUAACCCAGUUUGCAUUCAAUCACAAUAAUGCCCUUCAUAUUUAUAAAAUAAAUAAUUAAACAUAAUUAUAUAUGUAUAUUCGCAGCAUAAUCACUUUUGACCUAAGAACAUAACUCGGCUUUGAACUCCUUAAGUACUUAUCUUUGAUACGUAUUGCAAUUACAAACAAACAAAUAAAUAAAUAAAGCUGGUAGAGAAAUAUUGUGCAUCUAACGAGAAAACUUAUUACGCUACGUUUUCUCCUCUCUCUCUUUUUUUCUUUGGUUUUUUUAUUUUGAUCCUUUAUUUUUUUUUAUUUUUUUUUAAUAUUGUAUUUAUUUGGGAUUAAACUUAAUAGUUUAUUUUAUCUACUUAGGAUAGAAAACUACACAAUAUCAAACAUUAUCGAUCAAUACUUACUUUAUUAAAAUUAAAUGAGAUUUUAUUAAUUUAAAAUAAUUAAAUUUUCAAGAAUUAAAAUUUAAAGAUUGGAUAUUUAGUUCUGUUAAUGCAAAUCUGCAAUCAUGUUAUUAUACAGUUCAUAAUCAAGAUUGAAUAACAUGAAUAAUUAUCAUUUACUUAACUUGAAUAUUUUUUUCUACAUUCAAUAAAAAUUUUGAUCGGAUUCACAAGUAAUUAUCUCAUCGUAUUUUAUUUCUUGCUCAUAAGUACUUUAAUUAAUCAUUUCCUAUUCUGUCUUCACACUCCUACAUAAAGAGACUUUAGAGGCCACAUAUCUAUCAUUUACCUAACUUUAAAAUUAUUGAACAUAUUUAAUUAUCGAAUGCAACUUAAAUAAUAAUAAUAAUUGAUUUAAGCACAUUUGCAUUAUCGUAUUGUCCCCUACAAAGAUUUAUUGGAGCUUUUCUUUAUUUAUUUACUCACUUUUAUCCAAUCAUCAUACAACACGGUAGAAGGUUAAAUGACUUUACAAGCUUAAUUAAUUAUGUUGUAAGGGAAAAAAAAAACUUAACAUCUGAAACCCGUCAUAAUUCAUUUCUCUUUUUCGUAAUUUAUGAUACUUUAUCUAUAUAUUACAUUAAAUUGAUAAUUCAAGUCUUGUGUCUACGAGUUCCAAGAAAAAAAAAUUAUUUGAACUAAAAAAUAUGUAUUGCAUUAAAAAGUUUACAAGACCCAUUUUAUAAUAAUUGGACAAAAUCCAAUAUAAUGAAGCCAAGUUCAGACAAAAAUCCUAGGAGUAUAGUUUAUGAAAACCUAAAAAACGUACAUCGUUUUCACAUGUUCAAUAUAUCCUUCCAUUUAAACGACUUGAAGCAGACAAUAACUAUCCAACAGUAAAUAAUCUAAAUGUAAAUAAAUCUAAGUUCCGAUCAUCAAUCUAUCAUUGAAAUUGCAUCCUAGAUGGAUAUAAUAACGGGUGAUGUUUCAAAAUAUGUUUAUAAACAUAGGUUUUUUUUUUUUUGUUGGAGACUAGGCUUAAUCAAGUGUCUAUGUAAUUAGAUCUAUUUUUUAUAAUAUGUAAAAUUUCUAAGAUUUUUUUUGAUGGAUUUAAGAACUUUAGAUAUUAAAGUUAGUGUUUUUAUAAGAAAAAAAUAUAAUAAAUAUGCAAGAAAAAACAUAAAAUUUUAAAUAAAAGUUAUUUGUUCUUAUUUUAGUAUUGUAAUAGGUACUAUAAGAUAACAAUGUGUAUAUGUUGAGAAUGAAAAUUUUAAAUUCUUUACCUAAAUAAUUCAUGAGGUAUUUAUAUCUUAUAAACUUUUUUUCUUGUUUGAAAGAAAAGGUUGAAAAGUCAUUAUAUUCUUAUAAUAUUAAUGAAGAUAAAUAUCUUUUAAACAUGUAUUAAUAAAAAACAAAUAUAUAUGUUAUAAAUAUUAAUAUGAGAUAAAUAUUUUUUAUAUGUGUAUUAAUAAAAUGAAAAUACAGUAGGUUUUUGGAAGUGUAGAUAAAAAAUAUAAAGGGACUGAAUGUUGGGUCCAGCCCACAAAGCAAGGCUCGAUAAACACUAGAAUAUGUAUGGGGUCCUAGCACGUGGCUUGUACUCAAGAGGUGUCAAGUGAAUGCUUGGUGUUUGGGCUUAGGCCUGGUGUUUAAGUUCACGGGUGACAGGAACGCACGUGACCCCUGGGCUUAGGCUAGGGGCUUGAGCCCAUAAGCACCAGGUGUGCGCCUGUCGCUGAGGCAAAGAAUCACGUCUGAGCCCAUGGGUGCCAGGCACGUGCAUGUUGCACCACACUCAAUAAUUUAUUUUUGCUUCGUGUCGAAGCCUUCUCAAAUCCCAAUCACUUCUCUUUCCAAGAAAAGCAGAUGCACUCGGAAAAUAUAAAAGAAACAAUUACAAUACUUUAACAAGGGCCCAGUUGAAAACUUUCAAUUAUUCUAACUACAAAUUAUUUUCUUGAAUAAUAUUUGAAUACAUGAGGGCAGUUUGGUAACAAAAAAGAUUUAUAUCUAUCUAUCCAUCUUGAGCAAAUAGAGGAGCAUCCAAUACACGAAUUCUAGAUUUUUCAUCUCUUGUUCUCAUCUAUAGCCGCCAUCAAUGGAAGCAACAGAAGCACUCGAGCUCUUUGAUUCAUACUGGUUUGGGAUGGAAAUAUUCAAGAAACAACCGAUUUUACCUAAAUCAUCGAGUUUAGAAGCAAACCUAGAUCAUGAAAAUCAAGAAAAGGCUCUUAAACCAGAGAUUUCAAGACUCCCAGCGACCAUUACAAGGUCUAUGAGUGAAGAUUUAUGCUCCAAUACAACCUUCAGUUUUGGCUUUUCUUUCUCUUCAGAUUCAGUCCUCCACGCACCGAAGCUCCACACCAUCUUUUCAGGCGAAGACUUCACAAAAGAAGAGUAUUCAACACCAACGGAGAAGGUAUAUGUCCUGGAAUCACAUAAAAAGAAAGUUACGAGGAGAAGAGGAAAGAAAGUUACAAGCAAGAGCCUGUCAGAAUUGGAAUAUGAAGAGCUAAAAGGGUUUACGGAUUUGGGGUUUGUCUUCUCGGAAGAAGAUAAAGAUUCAAAGUUGGCUUCAAUAAUUCCAGGAUUGCAAAGACUUGGUAAGCAACAUGAGGAUGAAACC